rnacentral:lncRNA from 1 species
CUUACUAGUGUUUAACUCAAAAUCCCGAGAGGCUUGCGCAGAGGCUGGAGCCCAGCAACCAUUGCUUGUCCUUAGAGCCCAUUUAAGGGGCACCCUCCUAUCAUCACCCAUUAGCUUUCUCCCGGUGAAGCAUGAAUAUUUUCACAGUGAAGCUCAGGUCUAACUGUGACACUCUCACUGCCCACAAAAUGCACAGGAUUCCAGUGAGCAAAUAGCCCCGCCCUGAGUCUACCCGGCAUCGGCCACAGGCAUGCAUAGCAGGAACUGGGCGGCUGAGUUCACAGGCAGUCAGAAUGGGUGCUGCUGCUAGCAAGGUUAAAAUCAUCUGUUCUGCCAAUGUCCCCCUCUGCUCACCCUCUAGGCUGUGGUCUGGGUCCCUCAGGAUAGCCACAACUUGGGAGGCAGCCACUGCUCCCCUUGCUUUGGGCCCUUAGCUGCGUCCUGUUUACCUUCACCUUCCUGAUACAUUCCUUGGGUGCUUUGCUUGUGUGUGCAGGGGCUUUGAUCAACUCGGCCUUCCUGGGCCUCGGGGAGAGAGACGGACUGCCUCCGGGUGCUCAUGACCUUUCCAGCAGUAAGCCAAUAAUGUAUGACUCCUGCGUUGCCGUUGCUCGUUUGAGGAACAUCUGUCCAGUCCCUGGGAUGGUGAGGCUAUAACCACAAAGGAAUAAGAGAAGACGACUAGUUUUGUAAUGGCUUUGAAUGAUGCAUUGGCCCACGUGGACCACCUUCCAUUUCCCAAGACUUUUUGAAGGCAAUGAAUGAGAAGAAAGCAGAGAAAACAGUGGGCGUGAGGUCAGAUGACUCAGGCUUGAGUACUGAUCACAUCAAGGAUUGGACGCACUGCUCUUAGGAAGGCACAACUUCUACUACUUUCAGUCUUAUCAACUGUGAGAGUGUACCCUUGCUGUAGAUGCCACCCGCCCAGCAGUCCUCAUCAUCUUGGCCCAGGAUCACCUGAAACAGAUGAUCCUCCUUUUGAGCUACCAUCAGAAGGUCCACAGUACUAGCCCAGCGCUACAUCCCAAUGCCUACGCCAUUCAUCUCACCUCAUCUCAUCACGUAGACAUUUCAUCAUGUCACAUCAUCACAAGAAGGGAAUCUAUUCACAAAUAAGGUUUUGUGGAUUCAACAGCUUUACUGAAGAUAUGUAGAUUGUUGUUAGCGCUUCCUACCUUGCACAGCCUCUUGUCCCGUCACUGGCCCCAUGCAUCUUCCUCUGCUGCCUUCAAGAAGCUCCAGAUCCUGCCACAGACGUGCUCCACUCAGAGGACUGGAGUCCAAUCCCCUGACAGUGCUUUUCUCUUUGGGAAGCACCCCCUCCCCCACUGCCAUUAAACCUCUGGAA